GACAAUGCCACAAGUAGGUAGGACUCAAAUCAUUAGGCCGAGGCCUUUUAGCACUUACGUUACAGACAGGUGAACCAUCAAGAUUUAAAACAAAUAAUUCAUUCACAAUGGGUGCAAAAGCCAUAAACAUAUCAUUCUUAGAGAUCACACAACCAUUGUUUUCACUCACAAAUGAAUAACCAUCCUUCAUCAAGCAUGAAGGAGACAAAAUGUUUCGACUUAAACUAGGAACGAA
rnacentral:lncRNA from 1 species